AAGUCAGGUUUAAUAUAACCUUGGCUGUCAAUCCCAACACACAAAGCUGUAAAUAAAUAAGAAUUCCCUCUAAAAAUCACCAAGCCAUCUUGAAGUUUGCACUGGAUGUGCUGAUUCUAAACAGUUGGAUGAGUGGAUUCUUCAUGAUCUCUCAGCACUCCAAGAAGUGGCAAUUCUGAGCUACACUCCAUCUUACCAUAAAAUAGAUGUCUUCAUAAAGAUCAGAUGAAUCCUGCAGGUAUUUCUCCCUUGACAAUGAAGGAAAUAGAGGCACAGAUGGAGAAGGAACAGGACAUCUGCACCUCCAGCGGGCUGCAGUAGUAGCUGCUUCCAUGGAAGAGACCACCAGGAGGGUUUCUGACCUAUUUGUGCCAUGUGCUUUUAUCUCAUUACUUACAUGACCCAGUAAUACUAGAGCAGAGAAAGUUCUGAUGUAUUGUCUGCAUUUCUGCUUCAGGGACUUCCCACUCACACAGCUCUGUGUCACACAGGUAAUGCCUCCCCUGUAAGUACAACUCUUUAGGAUUGGUGAAAGAUUUACCUUAAUAUCACCAUCCCAUUCCCUCAGCAAGUAGACUUUAACGUGACAGAUUUUGCUAGAAAUGCAACACUAAAUCUUCAUCUGACAUAAAUCAGGGUUGCUUUACUUCAGGAGAUGAAACUGUCUGCAAAAUUUAGGGAAGACACUCUGUACUGUUGUACCCAGUUUGUUGACACAGACCCAGUGGCAGCUCUGUCCCUGUCAGCUGGCAAGGCUGGCAGAAGAGACACAGGGGGUGACUGUGUGUGUGCAUGUGCAUCAAUACAGACAAGCACAUGUAACGUGGUGGAAAUUUGAGAGGUCACAAUUGCACAAACUCUGCAGGCGCCACAGAACCUGGCAAGUAUAUGAAGAUGUGCUCCCACAGUAGCCCUCAGUGCUUUUUGUUAGCUUAGAUAAAAGGGGGGAGGGAGGGGGGAAAUCUUCCCUUGAUGUAAAAUAGAAUUGAUUUUCUCAUAUGUAGGCACCAGGGAAGCAACUGGUAGGAAAGAUGCAGGUCAUUGUUUGUAUCGACUGACAAGUCCCUCCUUGUGGAACGUGAGCACUGACUAUAGGGCUAAGAAGGUAAUAACCUAUUCUUUGAUGUGAAAAAAAGUUUUUGAAUUUGAAUCUAAGAGAGCAUCCUCAAUAUGUUUAGAUUUCCCAUCCCCAGUUUUUGAACUUGUCUAGAAGUGCCAGACAUAGAUCAUCACCGCAUAGAUUGUUCCAGCCCUCUCGCAGUCAAGAGCCACGACAAAUCCUCCGAACUGAAAACAAUUGUCAUUUCAUUUAAUGUUUCUCUCUAUGGUUCAGUACCUUCUGUGGCUUAAAGAUGCAUUUGAUUGGUGGAAAAUAGACUUAUAUUUCUUGCAUUUAGUUCUUUAAUAUAAGAAAACACAAUGUUUUCACUGUCAGGGCAUAAAUUUUAAUACAUAUUCUAUCCUCUGAAUUAUUUUUUUUCUUUUAGUUUGAACCAAUAAGGUACAUAUUUCAGUCCAUGUUUCUAUAAUAAAACUGACUGGUAUUUGAUCACA